rnacentral:rRNA from 1 species
UACGUAGGGGGCAAGCGUUGUCCGGAUUUAUUGGGCGUAAAGAGCGUGUAGGCGGCUUUACAGGUCCGUUGUGAAAACUCGAGGCUCAACCUCGAGACGCCGGUGGAAACCGUAAAGCUAGAGUCCGGAAGAGGAGAGUGGAAUUCCUGGUGUAGCGGUGAAAUGCGCAGAUAUCAGGAAGAACACCAAUGGCGAAGGCGGCUCUCUGGGACGGUACUGACGCUGAGACGCGAAAGCGUGGGGAGCGAACAGG